GCAGGCCGUCGAAGGUGACCUGCGGAGGGUCAUUACAGAGACUCUGCCCUUUGGGUAGACCUCCCACCCUGUGUCGUUAUACCUUCGUUGCUUUGGCGGGCCGCGGGGCCCCGGCCCUGCCCCUGGCUCCGGCUAGGGCGCGCCCGCCAGAGGACCUCAAAACCUGAAUGUUAGUGUCGUCUGAGUACUAUAUAAUAGUUAAAACUUUCAACAACGGAUCUCUUGGUUCUGGCAUCGAAUAAAAAACGCAGCGAAAUGCGAUAAGUAAUGUGAAUUGCAGAAUUCAGUGAAUCAUCGAAUCUUUGAACGCACAUUGCGCCCCUCGGUAUUCCGGGGGGCAUGCCUGUUCGAGCGUCAUUACAACCCUCAAGCUCUGCUUGGUCUUGGGCGUCACCGGUCCCCGGUGUGCCUUAAAAUCAGUGGCGGCGCCAUCUGGCUCUAAGCGUAGUACAUACUCUCGCUACAGACGUCCGGUGGAUGCUGGCCAGCAACCCCCAAUUUAUCAAGGUUGACCUCGGAUCAGGUAGGGAUACCCGCUGAACUUAAGCAUAUCAAAAGCGGGAGGAA
rnacentral:rRNA from 1 species